rnacentral:rRNA from 1 species
UCCUCCAAGGCUAAAUACUCCUGACUGACCGAUAGUGAACCAGUACCGUGAGGGAAAGGCGAAAAGAACCCCGGCGAGGGGAGUGAAAAAGAACCUGAAACCGUGUACGUACAAGCAGUGGGAGCACCCUGUGUGACUGCGUACCUUUUGUAUAAUGGGUCAGCGACUUAUAUUCUGUAGCAAGGUUAACCGAAUAGGGGAGCCGCAGGGAAACCGAGUCUUAAUUGGGCGUUAAGUUGCAGGGUAUAGACCCGAAACCCGGUGAUCUAGCCAUGGGCAGGUUGAAGGUUGGGUAACACUAACUGGAGGACCGAACCGACUAAUGUUGAAAAAUUAGCGGAUGACCUGUGGCUGGGGGUGAAAGGCCAAUCAAACCGGGAGAUAGCUGGUUCUCCCCGAAAGCUAUUUAGGUAGCGCCUCGUGAAUUCAUCUCCGGGGGUAGAGCACUGUUUCGGCUAGGGGGCCAUCCCGGCUUACCAACCCGAUGCAAACUGCGAAUACCGGAGAAUGUUAUCACGGGAGACACACGGCGGGUGCUAACGUCCGUCGUGAAGAGGGAAACAACCCAGACCGCCAGCUAAGGUCCCAAAGUCAUGGUUAAGUGGGAAACGAUGUGGGAAGGCCCAGACAGCCAGGAUGUUGGCUUAGAAGCAGCCAUCAUUUAAAGAAAGCGUAAUAGCUCACUGGUCGAGUCGGCCUGCGCGGAAGAUGUAACGGGGCUAAACCAUGCACCGAAGCUGCGGCAGCGACGCUGAUGCGUUGUUGGGUAGGGGAGCGUUCUGUAAGCCUGUGAAGGUGGCCUGUGAGGGUUGCUGGAGGUAUCAGAAGUGCGAAUGCUGACAUAAGUAACGAUAAAGCGGGUGAAAAGCCCGCUCGCCGGAAGACCAAGGGUUCCUGUCCAACGUUAAUCGGGGCAGGGUGAGUCGACCCCUAAGGCGAGGCCGAAAGGCGUAGUCGAUGGGAAACGGGUUAAUAUUCCCGUACUUGGUGUUACUGCGAAGGGGGGACGGAGAAGGCUAUGUUGGCCGGGCGACGGUUGUCCCGGUUUAAGCGUGUAGGUGUGUGUUCCAGGUAAAUCCGGUUCACUUUAACACUGAGGCGUGA